rnacentral:lncRNA from 1 species
AUGAUCAAUCACAAUUGUCCUCCAAUACGCGCGGUGGUGGGGCGGAGACCCCUGCUUUGAGCGGCAGUGUGCUGCGCUGCUGUGGGUGAGAGGGAUCAACGCUGCUCUGCCUUUCAACACUUAGCGGUAAUUAGCGGCCGUGUGAGCACUUUGAAAUCAGGCACUUUGAAAUCAGGCACUUUGAAAUCAGGCACUUUGAAAUCAGUUUUUUUUGCGCGCGGCACGUGACUGAGGGGGACGCGCAAACAGCAACCUGGCAACAACAAUUGGAUCGUAGGAAGGUUGUAAUAGUAGUAGCUCUGCAGCGGCCAAGUUGCAUCCACAAUAACGCUAUUUAGCUGGUCGACAGUCGGACUACUGCUCACUCCGGAGAGUCUCCUCGCUCCGAAGAACAAGGAUGAACAGGAGAAACUGAGGGGCAGCAUUUCAAGCGUUGUGGCUUUGGCCUGCCCUGGUACUUGUAUGGGUCUUUCUCCUGAACCAAAGAUCUCUCCUGGCGGACCGAACAAGCAAGUCGACUCCAACAGUGCCACGCCUGUCCUCAGUCUACUUGUGGUCUGACGGCACUCACCAACAUCAAAGGUACCCGUGCCUCUCUCUACACCUCAAGCCUCCUUUAAUCACUUUGUUCAGCUUAUCAUUGCA